CUUUGCUGAUACACAGAGAUGUGCCCAUGGUUGCCCCCUGCUGGACGAUGCCUAUAAUGAUGCUUACAGCACGGCGCUGAUGUGCAGGAUCCCACAUGAAAAAAGCUGGUUGUCAGGGGCAAGAAGAGGAUUGAAUGGAGACUGGCCAAUCAGAGGCAAAGAGCACAGCUGGCCUGAAUCCCAUCCCUGGGGAAGAGAGGAGAGAGGAAGGUCCUCAUGGAGGUACUUCCAGAUAUUUGCCAGGUUUUUUGGAUGCCCAGCAUCUGGAACUUUCUCCCACAUGAGUCUGGAGGGAGGCAGAAGGCACAUUCCACUAUAAAAGCCAAAAUGGCCGCAUGCUGAAUUCCCACCUCCUUGCUCCAGCGCAUGGUGCGGGCACAUGGCAUGGACCAGACCGACCAGAUGUGCCCAUCCAGACUGUGAUCAGAAGCCAGUGGCCCUGGGGCUUCCCUGCUGGUGCAGUGGUUAAGAAUCCGCCUGC